UACGUAGGUGGCAAGCGUUGUCCGGAAUUACUGGGUGUAAAGGGCGUGUAGGCGGGGAUGCAAGUCAGAUGUGAAAUUCCGAAGCUUAACUUCGGCGCUGCAUCUGAAACUGUGUCUCUUGAGUGCUGGAGAGGAAAGCGGAAUUCCUAGUGUAGCGGUGAAAUGCGUAGAUAUUAGGAGGAACACCAGUGGCGAAGGCGGCUUUCUGGACAGUAACUGACGCUGAGGCGCGAAAGCGUGGGGAGCAAACAGG
rnacentral:rRNA from 1 species